GGAUUGUCGAACAUGACGAUGACAAACUGGGUAUUGCUGGCAAAGCCAAUUCACCUGCCAGUCCUAAUUAUACACCUGACAAUGAGGAACAGUACAGCAGAUUGACUUACAUUAAGCAGUUUUGUUUUUUUUCCAUCACACACAGACAUCUUUGGCAGAAUUCAAUUAAAGCAAGUGUGCUCAGCCCAAGCCCAGAGGGCCAUUUGUGGCCCGCAAAGCUUCAAUCGACAGAUCAAC